AAUGGAGGAAACUCUGACGCAGCCAUGCCGCGUGCAGGAAGACGGCCUUAUGGUUGUAAACUGCUUUUAUAUAGGAAUAAACUGAAGGUACUAUAUGAAUAAGCACCGGCUAACUCCGUGCCAGCAGCCGCGGUAAUACGGAGGGUGCAAGCGUUAUCCGGAUUCAUUGGGUUUAAAGGGUGCGUAGGCGGUCUGAUAAGUCAGUGGUGAAAGCCUUCCGCUUAACGGGAGAACUGCCAUUGAUACUGUUAGACUUGAAUCUAGUUGAAGUGGGUGGAAUACAUCAUGUAGCGGUGAAAUGCAUAGAUAUGAUGUAGAACGCCGAUUGCGAAGGCAACUCACUAAGUUAGUAUUGACGCUGAGGCACGAAAGCGUGGGGAGCGAACAGGAUU
rnacentral:rRNA from 1 species